UAAACUCAAUCGUACUAAAUAAAUAUAUAUUUAUAUAUAUAUAUAUAUAAAUAAGCAGUAAUCGGAGUUGCAACGUGUGUUAUCAGCUGAAAUCAAGAAAUUGGCGCGCACCGCAACGAGCUAGUGUCGAACGCUCGCCUCGUGGGCCGCUCUAAGAAUGUCGAAUCCGAAUAACAAUGCGAAUGCCGCGGCGCAGGAGGAAGACGAUGCUGAAAUGCCCAGUGGUGCAGCAUUAAAUGAUGCAGCCUUGGAUAAUGUUGUAUUUGCGGCUGCCUACCAAAGUGACGAGAGUUCGGUGGAUGCAUUGGAUCAAGCUAUACAAGCGGAAGAGGAAGCUGAAGCACAAAACGUGGGAAAUUCACUGGAGGCUGGUGCAGAAGUUGAAGUUGAAGCUGAGGCUGACGCUGAGCCUGAACCUGAUGGUGAGGGUGAGGGCGAGGGCGCGGCUGCCGCCGAAGAUGACAGCGUUGCGGAUGAUGCUGGCAAUGCUAAUGCUGACGAUGAUCCUGCCGCGGACAGACGGUCGGCCACAAAAAAAGAGCUUACCCAAAUAAUUGACAAAUGGGAGCAAGAACAAACACAAAACGGCUACGAUCCAGUGCCCACACUGAGAAGUCUAGCUGAAAUAUUUGAGCGUGAGAAGGAUUCAUAUAUGCGCAAGGAUCCAGAUCCUUUGGACUUAAGACAUCCCUAUCGCACCGAUCCCAGUUGCCAAUAUGGUCUACUGCUGAAGUUGCUCUUUCGCAAGGAUCAGUUCAUGGGCAAGCUGCUCAACGAUUAUCUGCGGGAUAACUAUUUUAGUCGCCAGAACAUAAGUCGCAGCUCACUGGAGUUGAAUAUAAUUGCCUGCCGUUUAAUAUUAGUGGUAAUGCCAGGUCUUGAGACGACGGCAGUUUUUCAGACAGCUGAGGAGGAUGGUAUCAUUAAUCGUCUCUACAACUGGGCGGAGGACAGCAUUGAGCCGCUGCAAAGCUAUGCCACCGGGCUGCUGGCCGCUGCGAUGGAGGUGAGCGAUAUUGCGAUAACUUGCCGGGAACAGAAUAUGCGCUUGGUGCCCAAGAUGAUUAACCGCCUGCACCUGUUGCUUGCCUGCAGUCGCAUGAGUAAAAACACAACAAUAACAGAGCCAAGCUCCUCACUCAAUAACUCGGCGGACAGCAGUUUCUCGCCAGGCAUGCUUAGCUGGAUGGCCUGUGGCGCUGCCUCAGCGCCGCAGUCGCCGCAGCAUAACGGCGCCAGCGGGAGUGCCUCCAAUAUGUCUAUUUUGUUUGAGAAUAGCCGCGAUGCGUUUCCACUGUCGCGGUAUUACAAGCGCAUGUAUAUACCACUGCAUCCGCCAACAGCGGACACCAGUCAGAUGCUGAUUUUGCGCUUUCUAACCAGUCUCGGCGAGUACCAAGAGUUUCUGGCCAUGGCAUUUGGUAAUAAUGUUAUGGCACUGAUCUUUGGUCAUCUCGAAGAGCUAGACAGGCGCGACACUUGCUUGGCGUACGAGGUCCUCAAAUAUCUAGCCUCGCUUCUCUGCCACAAGAAGUUCGCAUUGGAGUUCAUAUCGCGCGGCGGCCUGGAGCUGCUGUUGAAUGUGCCACGGCCCAGUCUGGCCACAACAGGCGUCUCCAUAGCCAUCUACUAUUUGGCUUACUGUGAGGAUGCCAUGGAGCGGAUAUGCAGCAUGCCGCGUCCAUUGAUAUCAAAUCUGGUGCGCUAUGCACUGUGGAUACUCGGGCGCUGUCAUGAUUCCUCCAAAUGCCAUGCCACCAUGUUCUUCAGCCUAAGCUUUCAGUUUAAGGCCAUACUGGAUGAGUUUGACUCGCAGGAUGGCCUGCGCAAGCUCUACAAUGUUAUAUCGGUGUUGAAAAUUUUGGAUCCCAGUCACAAUGACAGCGAUAACGGCUCGGAUAUUAACGAGGAUGUGGAGUGCGCUUCGCGUCAGAUGGUGCGACAUGUUUGCAUAGCAAUGAAACGCUAUAUGGAGGCGCAUUUCUUCUACAAGUACAACAAUUUUCUCUGCCAGCACUAUGCAACAUCAUCGUCCUCCUCGACCCACUACUUCAGUCAGCAGCCAACAGUGGCCGCCAAACUGACAUUCGAUCAGCUGCACGAACAGUUGCGUACGCUGCAGGAGCACACAUCGGUGCGUGGCCAUUGGGAGCCCGUGGAUCAGCUAAUGAAGCUGGGCGGCAUUACUUUGCUGUUGCGCAUCAUUGCCUUUAGCUACGACUGGGUGAACAGUGGCCGUUCGGAGACGGUGCGCUCGGCCCUGGACGUACUAAGCGUAUGCUGUGUGAUACCACGCGUAUAUUUGGUGCUCUGCGAACGCCUUCAAAUGCCAGAUAAGACGACAACGUCCGGGUUCUGUUCGGUGCUAGGCGCAGCGGCCGGCGAGAUCACAGCCGACGCUGAGGUCUUAAAAUCCGCGCUGGCCGUGCUCUGCCACUGUGUGUGCUCGCCCAUAAUACGCAAGGAUAGCGGGAGCAGCAGUCUGAUGAAGUUUGCCAACUCGUCACGAAAAAACAAGGCGAACCAGAAAUAUGCCGAGGAACUGAUCGAGAAGGUGUGGGAGUCCGUGUGCUCGAACAAUGGUAUUGUGGUGUUGUUGUCGCUUAUGCAAACGAAGGGACCCAUCACGGAUGCCGACUGCAUACGCGGAAUGGCCUGCCGCGCCUUGGCUGGCCUGGCACGCUCCGAUCGUGUUCGUCAAAUUGUGGGCAAACUUCCGCUAUUUGCCAGCGGACAGUUGCAGGCGUUGAUGCGUGAUCCCAUACUGCAAGAGAAGCGAGCCGAACAUGUGAUUUUCCAAAAGUAUGCACUGGAACUGCUCGAGCGCAUCUCGGGCAAGACAAAGCCGCUCAACAAUCCGCUAGAUCCAUCGCUGACUAACAUGCACAAGGCGAACGUUAUUGCCCAGACGCGAAUUCAAUACAACGAACAGCAGCUGUAUCAGCUCAUCUUUGAGCAUCUGGAGAGCAAGGGUCUGAGCCAAACGGCUCAGAUGUUACAGCGUGAGGUUGGUCUGCCCCUGCAGACGACAACGACCCGCAGUUUCCAUCAGUCGCCCUUCGACUACAAAGGUCUCGCCGGCUUGAGUUCAAUUUCACGCAGUCGUUUGCGUAGUCGCAUGCAGGAUGUCCAUGCGGCUAUUAUGUCCAGUGGCGACCAGAAUCGCAGUCUUUCGGAGGAUAUGUCACCACACUGCAGCUCCAGCAUUGGCACCUCCUCAUCAAUGGCGGGCGCAGCGUCUACUACCAUGGGCGUGCCCAACUUUAGCUACCUCAGUGCACAGACACCCAUUAAGCUACGCAAGACGGAGCGUGCCACAUCCUCGGUCACACGCUCGCUGCAAAAGCAGAUAAGUUUGGCCAACGUAGAGUCGACCGCUGUGGGCCUGCCAGAUGAACUCACUAUCUCGCCAGCGCUGCAUCCAAAACGCGUAACACUCAACAGCAUUGUAACAGAGUAUCUAACCAAUCAGCAUUCGCUGUGCAACAAUCCGGUUACCACCUGUCCGCAGUUUGAUCUAUACGAGCCGCACAAAUGCCCCGAUCCACGGCCCAGUCGUCUGGUCAGUUCCAAUUAUAAUCUUACCUCCAGGCAUUUUCGCACCCAAGCUGGCUUUAAUACCGCACGCUUCGAUCGCCGUCACGUGCACACACAUUUUGCGCCCUGGCGCACCAUGCGCUCCGCCGACUAUGAUGAUCUGGAGUUCACAUGCUGUGACGUUGUGGGAAAUUACCUGAUCGUUGGCACGCACCAAGGCGAGAGCAAGGUGUUCAACAUGAAUGAUGGCGUCGAGCAAUUCUCCUCCAUAUGCCACACUUACGGCGUGGAUGCGAUUCAGGCGAAUCGCGCCGGUGGUCUGGUGCUGACCACUAGUCUCUGGCGCCUACGCACCACCAUUUUGUGGUCCAUCACCGACAACGAGUUCCGCUCCAAACUGCGUCUACCUGAGGUCGGCUACUGUGAAUUUAGCCAAACCACGCAGGAUCGUUUACUGGGCACACACACCGAUUGCGCGGUGCUGUAUGACAUCAAUACGGGCUCCAAGGUAUCCACGUUUACGCCCACCAUACCAAAUCAGUACACUAAGAAUCGCGCUACCCUCUGCCGCACCGACGAGUUGCUACUCUCAGAUGGCGUGCUCUGGGAUGUGCGCUCCGGCAAGGAAAUUCACAAGUUCGACAAGUUUAAUCAAUGCAUUUCGGGCGUGUUUCACCCCAAUUGCUUAGAGAUUAUAGCCAACACGGAGGUGUGGGAUCUGCGCACGUUUCAUCUGCUACAGACGGUGCCGGUGCUGGAUCAGCGCAAUUGCACGUUCUCACCAAUGCAUGUUAUAUAUGGCGCUAGUUUAGGCGCUGAUAGAGACCAUGACAUGGAGACAACCACCUAUGAUACUAGCUUUAAUGUUCUGGAUGCGUACGACUAUUCUAGCAUUGCGACCAUCGAUGUGAAGCGUAACAUUAACGAUCUGAGCGUUAGUGCAAAUGGCAGCUUAAUUGCUGUUGUGGAGGAUCACAGCGGCUAUGAUUCGAAGCAGGAGACUUAUGUGAAGAUCUAUGCCGUGGGCGUUAAAAAGAGCGAGCGGUCGGAAGAGGUGCGUGCGGUUAAGGACCUGGCCGUCGAUGAGGGUGUCGUUAGAGGCGGCGCGUCCGCGUCCGAGGAACCGCCACCGCCCGCCAAUGCACCAAACGGUGACUCUGCGCUGAUUCGCAUCGUCGAAGAGGCGGUGGCACGCCCCCAUACGCCAGCGCCAAACUUAGCUUUGCUUGAUGCUGACGCUGACGCAGUUGGCAUUGGUGUUGGUGGUGCCGACGACGACGAGGCACGCGCUCGUCGUCCAAGCCGGCUAAGGCUACCGUCACAUGCCAAUUCAAAUCUGGCUCGCCAGCAUGCGCCCAACAGCUCAAUUGUUGGUGUGCGACGGCGAGCACGUACACUGGGCGGUGCCGGCGGUGCGCCAAUCGAUCUCAGAACGCUCAUGCGGCAGAUGGAUGAUAUUGAAUUUAAUAUUAUGUCUAUGCUUGCAGGAAGAUGAUGAGGAAUUGCCCGAAUCCAAUGAGGAGGGCUCCGAGACGGGUUCGGAUACCGGUUCUGAUAACGGUCCAAAUUUUCUGGGU